CUGGUUGAUCCUGCCAGAGGUUACUGCUAUCGGUGUUCGCCUAAGCCAUGCGAGUCAUAUGUUCUUCGUGAACAUGGCGUACUGCUCAGUAACACGUGGAUAACCUGCCCUUGGGUCCGGCAUAACCCCGGGAAACUGGGGAUAAUUCCGGAUAACGCAUAUAUGCUGGAAUGCUUUAUGCGUCAAAUGGAUUCGUCUGCCCAAGGAUGGGUCUGCGGCCUAUCAGGUAGUAGUGGGUGUAAUGUACCUACUAGCCGACGACGGGUACGGGUUGUGAGAGCAAGAGCCCGGAGAUGGAUUCUGAGACAUGAAUCCAGGCCCUACGGGGCGCAGCAGGCGCGAAAACUUUACAAUGCGGGAAACCGUGAUAAGGGGACACCGAGUGCCAGCAUCAUAUGCUGGCUGUCCGGGUGUGUAAAAUACACCUGUUAGCAAGGGCCGGGCAAGACCGGUGCCAGCCGCCGCGGUAACACCGGCGGCCCGAGUGGUGAUCGUGAUUAUUGGGUCUAAAGGGUCCGUAGCCGGUUUGGUCAGUCCUCCGGGAAAUCUGAUAGCUCAACCGUUAGGCUUUCGGGGGAUACUGCCAGGCUUGGAACCGGGAGAGGUAAGAGGUACUACAGGGGUAGGGGUGAAAUCUUGUAAUCCUUGAAGGACCACCAGUGGCGAAGGCGUCUCACCAGAACGGACCUGACGGCAAGGGACGAAAGCUAGGGGCACGAACCGGAUUAGAUACCCGGGUAGUCCUAGCCGUAAACGAUACUCGCUAGGUGUCGGCAACGGUGCGACCGUUGUCGGUGCCGUAAGGGAAGCCGUGAAGCGAGCCACCUGGGAAGUACGGCCGCAAGGCUGAAACUUAAAGGAAUUGGCGGG
rnacentral:rRNA from 1 species